rnacentral:lncRNA from 1 species
AGCUGGGGCAACUGGUGGUGCUUGUGUACCAUUAUAACCAUCAGACGGUGCUGCAGAGCUGUAUGAAGGGUAAGUUUGCUGAACAGGCGCAUUUGAUGCAUAGCCAUAUUGCUGUUGUGGAGCCAUGUUUGAACCAUACGAUGGUGCUGCUUGAGUUGGACCUUGGUAAGGCACAUCACCAGAAGGUGCUGCUGGCCUUGGAGGCCCAUAUCCUUGCUCAACUGAUCCCUGCAUCCCGUAAGGUCUAGCUGGUUGCUGCAUUUGGUGUUGACCGCCUGCCGGGGGAUAGCCCUGUUGGG